GGAGAGAUGGCCGAGUGGCUUAAGGCUGCGGUUUCGAAAACCGCCGAGGGCUGUGCCCUCCGAGGGUUCGACUCCCUCUCUCUCCG
rnacentral:tRNA from 1 species